GACGAACGCUGGCGGCGUGCCUAAUACAUGCAAGUCGAACGCAGUGGGGACGGGUGAGUAACACGUGGGUAACCUCCCAUCAGAGGGGAUAACACUUGGAAACAGGUGCUAAACCGAUACUGAUGGAUGGACCCGGGGUGCAUUAGCUAGUUGGUGAGGUAACGGCUAACCAAGGCCACGAUGCAUAGCUGACCUGAGAGGGGGAUCGGCCACACUGGGACUGAGACACGGCCCAGACUCCUACGGGAGGCAGCAGUAGGGAAUAUUGGGCAAUGGACGAAAGUCUGACCGAGCAACGCCGCGUGAGUGAAGAAGGUUUUCGGGUCGUAAAGCUCUGUUGUUAGAGAGGCGGUAUCUAACCAGAAAGCCACGGCUAACUCCGUGCCAGCCGCCGCGGUAAUUC
rnacentral:rRNA from 1 species